rnacentral:tRNA from 1 species
GCCGGAAUAGCUCAGUUGGGAGAGCGUUAGACUGAAGUUGUUUAUGCAACAAUCAUCUAAAGGCAUCAGUUCAAUCCCGGGUUCCAGCA